rnacentral:lncRNA from 1 species
ACUCGUGUAACCUGUGCCUUACAAUGCAACCAACCACAAGAUAGAGAGAGGGAGAGGAGGACAAUAAAAUUGUAUCCAGGACUGAAAAAUACAUCAAACUACAUCUUAUUUCAGUUCUUAUCACCACCACCGAGGACCUUCGAAGGUCACCAGUUCUAAUUAUUAGUAAGAAAAGCCAGCAGUGAAUCACAGUGAUUUCUGCCUAAAGCAUAGAACACAUUACCAAGGUCACACGCAAAUACAUAGGAUGCGAGUGCAACAUCUCACAGAGCCAACGUCAUCCUCCUCCUAUAGGUUUGAAGCUGCACUCUUGUCUAAAAACCAUGUUAACUCAUCCUCAGCUGAAAGCAACUGAGCAGGCAAAGUUUCAGAAU